GGGAAUGUGGCUUAGUGGUAGAGUACUUGCCUAGCAAUGCAUGAAGGCCUAGGUUCGAUUCCUCAGUACCA
rnacentral:tRNA from 1 species